rnacentral:rRNA from 1 species
UACAGAGGGUGCGAGCGUUAAUCGGAAUUACUGGGCGUAAAGCGCGCGUAGGCGGCUUUGCAAGUCAGGUGUGAAAUCCCCAGGCUCAACCUGGGAACUGCAUCUGAGACUGCAUUGCUAGAGUAUGGGAGAGGGAAGUGGAAUUUCCGGUGUAGCGGUGAAAUGCGUAGAUAUCGGAAGGAACAUCAGUGGCGAAAGCGACUUCCUGGACCAAUACUGACGCUCAUGUGCGAAAGCGUGGGGAGCAAACAGG